rnacentral:rRNA from 1 species
AGGGUUUGAUUAUGGCUCAGGAUGAACGCUGGCGGCGUGCCUAACACAUGCAAGUCGAACGAAGCACUUUAACUUGAUUCUUCGGAUGAAGGUUAUUGUGACUGAGUGGCGGACGGGUGAGUAACGCGUGGGUAACCUGCCUCAUACAGGGGGAUAACAGUUAGAAAUGACUGCUAAUACCGCAUAAGACCACAGGGUCGCAUGACCCGGUGGGAAAAACUCCGGUGGUAUGAGAUGGACCCGCGUCUGAUUAGGUAGUUGGUGGGGUAACGGCCUACCAAGCCGACGAUCAGUAGCCGACCUGAGAGGGUGACCGGCCACAUUGGGACUGAGACACGGCCCAA